CAGAGUUAAAUAAGAAGAUAAAAACACAAGAAAUAAACACACAAGAAUGAAGCUAUAUACAUGAGGUACCAAUACCAUAUCAAUGUGCAGGAAUACGAGGUAGUUGAGGUAGGCAUGUACAUGCCAUACCAAUAAUUAUAAAGCAGUCCCUACUUGGGAGGAAUGCAGCAGUGCCCUCUUCAGACUUCCUCUAAACUCAGAACACUCUUCACUAUUUCCACAUUGUCAUUUAUAGCAGAUGUAACGUCAAACUUUCUCUGUUUGUUUGAACACGUUUUUUUUUGCUGGGAUUGGUGUUUUUAGGGAAGUGUCCCUCAGCAUUUGUCUUUCUCAUCCGUCCCCUCCCUCCCUACUCGCUGAUGGAGGGCUGGGUGACUGCAGGUGCACGAUGGCUCUAUACCCGGCACAUUCAUCAUGAUGUAACCGUGAGCAACUGGGAUCUAAAUUACCUUCGUCUGGCAUCAUUCCAGCACAUGCUAUAAAUGAGGUAUGAACCGGGACUUGGCUUCUCUCUUCCUCUAGUGAAAAAGAUAUUUCUUCACAAUAGCACAAGAACAGAGCCAGACGUUACGACGCAAUGGAUCCCUGACGAGCCCCAGAAGUGGGGAAUUAUUUACCACCGCCUGCGUACAUCUGACGACUGCUGCCUUCACAUCACGCUGGAAACCAAGCAGCCAUAGCCUUUUGUCUGUUCAUCAGCUCAACCCUGCUAGAAUAGUGAUCAGUGGGGUGGUUUAGUGGCUGGGUAGCGUUAGCUCUGACACUGAGCUGUCCUCGCUGUCACAUUGAAGAUGACUGGUCGACUAGUCGACACUUUGAGCCACUGGGCAAGGGGGCUAUGAAUGGAGCGGGGGAGAGCGAGCGAUCCCUUGUCGUCAUUGUCGUAGCCACAGGGCGCAGUGUGGAGGGCACCAGCCAAAACAUUAUACUGGGAGUUUAGGCUUGUUGUUUUGCAUAAAUGUUGAAUCACUCUAGCGUGUUUUUAUUACGGCCCACCAUCACUGCUGCUAAUAUUGAUUUAAUUCUCUAUUUAUGUUGAAAUAGCCUCACAGGACAUUAUUUGACAAACAUUAUGAAUAUGAAUACAACACAGCUAAAUGAAACGACAUUGAUUGAUUGAUGGAUUGAUUGCCUUGUUCGCAUAGCAUCUUGGGACAGUGAUUGUGAAGCAUAUUUCUCAAUGUGAGAAAAGAGAGAAAGCGAGAAACGGGUAGAAAAAAAGGUUGCAACAACUUUAACAAAACAUCACAUGCGAACAGGGCCCUCGGCUUCAUUUGCAUACGCUGACAUUUGGCGAAAAAAUAUUUCAACGUUAGACUGAGGUGUAAUGAAACGCUGCCACCAGCCAGUCAAGGAAUAAUGUUACCAUAAAGGUAACAUGUCC
rnacentral:lncRNA from 13 species